rnacentral:rRNA from 1 species
UACGGCGGGUGCGAGCGUUGUCCGGAAUCAUUGGGCGUAAAGGGCGCGUAGGUGGCCCGGUCAGCGUGCGGUGAAAGCUCGGGGCUCAACCCCGAGUCGGCCGUGCGAACUGCUGGGCUGGAGCACUGUAGAGGCAGGCGGAAUUCCGGGUGUAGCGGUGGAAUGCGUAGAGAUCGGCAGGAACACCAAGGGGGAAACCAGCGAACUGGGCCAUUUCUGACGCUCAGGUGCGAAAGCGUGGGAGCGGAACCGGAUUAGAAACC